rnacentral:rRNA from 1 species
AUUGAACGCUGGCGGCAGGCCUAACACAUGCAAGUCGAGCGGUAGCACAGAGAGCUUGCUCUCGGGUGACGAGCGGCGGACGGGUGAGUAAUGUCUGGGAAACUGCCUGAUGGAGGGGGAUAACUACUGGAAACGGUAGCUAAUACCGCAUAACGUCGCAAGACCAAAGUGGGGGACCUUCGGGCCUCAUGCCAUCAGAUGUGCCCAGAUGGGAUUAGCUAGUAGGUGGGGUAACGGCUCACCUAGGCGACGAUCCCUAGCUGGUCUGAGAGGAUGACCAGCCACACUGGAACUGAGACACGGUCCAGACUCCUACGGGAGGCAGCAGUGGGGAAUAUUGCACAAUGGGCGCAAGCCUGAUGCAGCCAUGCCGCGUGUGUGAAGAAGGCCUUCGGGUUGUAAAGCACUUUCAGCGGGGAAGAAGGCGGUGAGGUUAAUAACCUUGUCGAUUGACGUUACCCGCAGAAGAAGCACCGGCUAACUCCGUGCCAGCAGCCGCGGUAAUACGGAGGGUGCAAGCGUUAAUCGGAAUUACUGGGCGUAAAGCGCACGCAGGCGGUCUGUCAAGUCGGAUGUGAAAUCCCCGGGCUCAACCUGUGGAACUGCAUUCGAAACUGGCAGGCUAGAGUCUUGUAGAGGGGGGUAGAAUUCCAGGUGUAGCGGUGAAAUGCGUAGAGAUCUGGAGGAAUACCGGUGGCGAAGGCGGCCCCCUGGACAAAGACUGACGCUCAGGUGCGAAAGCGUGGGGAGCAAACAGGAUUAGAUACCCUGGUAGUCCACGCCGUAAACGAUGUCGAUUUGGAGGUUGUGCCCUUGAGGCGUGGCUUCCGGAGCUAACGCGUUAAAUCGACCGCCUGGGGAGUACGGCCGCAAGGUUAAAACUCAAAUGAAUUGACGGGGGCCCGCACAAGCGGUGGAGCAUGUGGUUUAAUUCGAUGCAACGCGAAGAACCUUACCUGGUCUUGACAUCCACAGAACUUUCCAGAGAUGGAUUGGUGCCUUCGGGAACUGUGAGACAGGUGCUGCAUGGCUGUCGUCAGCUCGUGUUGUGAAAUGUUGGGUUAAGUCCCGCAACGAGCGCAACCCUUAUCCUUUGUUGCCAGCGGUUAGGCCGGGAACUCAAAGGAGACUGCCAGUGAUAAACUGGAGGAAGGUGGGGAUGACGUCAAGUCAUCAUGGCCCUUACGACCAGGGCUACACACGUGCUACAAUGGCAUAUACAAAGAGAAGCGACCUCGCGAGAGCAAGCGGACCUCAUAAAGUAUGUCGUAGUCCGGAUUGGAGUCUGCAACUCGACUCCAUGAAGUCGGAAUCGCUAGUAAUCGUAGAUCAGAAUGCUACGGUGAAUACCUUCCCGGGCCU